GCGGGUGUAGUAUAAUGGCUAUUAUGUCGGCUUCCCAAGCCGAAGAAAGGAGUUCGAUUCUCCUUAUCCGCUCAA
rnacentral:tRNA from 2 species